rnacentral:rRNA from 1 species
GCGUGGGAAUCUACCCAGUAGUGGGGACGAACAGUUGGAAACGACUGCUAAUACCGCAUACGCCCUAAGGGGGAAAGGCAGGGGACGUCUUCGGAGCCUUGUGCUAUUGGAUGAGCCCGCGUGAGAUUAGAUAGUUGGUGAGGUAAUGGCUCACCAAGUCUACGAUCUAUAGCUGGUCUGAGAGGAUGAUCAGCCACACUGGGACUGAGACACGGCCCAGACUCCUACGGGAGGCAGCAGUGGGGAAUAUUGCACAAUGGGCGCAAGCCUGAUGCAGCAACGCCGCGUGAGGGACGACGG